rnacentral:rRNA from 1 species
ACGGAAGGGGCGAGCGUUGAGCCUCUAUACUAGGCCUAAAACGUGGGUCGGUGGUUUUCUCUCUGUUUUGAGUUCCCUAAUAGUUUAGGCGGCCAAUACAAAAGAGAAGACUGGAGUGAUCUCCAGGGUAGAGGAACGAUUCAAGAACCGGUAGAAUGGAAGAAUAUGAAUCUGAACACCCAUGGCGAAAGCAUCUACCUGCGGAUACACUAACACCUAGCCACGGAAGUGCGAGGAUCGAAUGGGA